rnacentral:snRNA from 1 species
GUGCCUUAAACUAAUGAGUAAGGAAAAUUACGGGCCUUGGUGACGCUUGGCUCAGCCUACGCACAACGGGUGCGCGGUUGUCGUGCUCGGUAGGUCCUAUUUUUGCAGAGGCACAGGUCGUCCCUGGGUUUGUCCUGCCUACUUCUGCAGGAUGCCCGGGAGUGUUGCGAUCUGCCUC